UACGGAGGGGACUAGCGUUGUUCGGAAUUACUGGGCGUAAAGCGCACGUAGGCGGAUUGUUUAGUCAGGGGUGAAAUCCCGAGGCUCAACCUCGGAACUGCCUUUGAUACUGGCAAUCUCGAGUCCGGAAGAGGUGAGUGGAAUUCCUAGUGUAGAGGUGAAAUUCGUAGAUAUUAGGAAGAACACCAGUGGCGAAGGCGGCUCACUGGUCCGGUACUGACGCUGAGGUGUGAAAGCGUGGGGAGCAAACAGG
rnacentral:rRNA from 1 species